CCGGAGGAUCCAAGCGUUAUCCGGAUUUAUUGGGUUUAAAGGGUGCGCAGGCGGAAGAUUAAGUCGGCGGUGAAAUUUUGCAGCUCAACUGUAAAAGUGCCAUCGAUACUGGUUUUCUUGAGUGUGGAUGAAGUAGGCGGAAUUUGUGGUGUAGCGGUGAAAUGCAUAGAUAUCACGAGGAACUCCGAUUGCGCAGGCAGCUUACUAGGCCAUAACUGACGCUCAGGCACGAAGGCGUGGGGAUCAAACAGGAUUAGAUACCC
rnacentral:rRNA from 1 species